rnacentral:antisense_RNA from 1 species
GCCCCAGCUGGGCGCAGCAGGCAGGCACGAGGCAGAGAAGGCAUCCCAGAGAGGUGAAGCAGUUCCUUCAAGAACACACAGCAAGGAAGCGGUUGCCCCAGGACUCAGCUCAGGUUUGUGUAACCCCAGGACCGUGUUCCUUGUCAUGGGCAGCGAGAGGCCCCAGGCAACAUAGCGACUCCAGAGCAGCAGCACCAGCACCUGAUGGACAGUAAGCAAUCCUGGAUCUGAGCGAGAUAUCAUCUUGCAAGGAUGCCUGCUUUACAAACAUCCUUGAAACGACAAUCCAGAAAAAAAAAGGUGUUGCUGUCUUUGCUCAGAAGACACACAGAUACGUGACAGAACCAUGGAGAAUUGCCUCCCAACACUGUUCAGCCAGAGCCUUC